AAAGAUUAAGCCAUGCAUGUCUAAGUAUAAGCAAUUAUACAGCGAAACUGCGAAUGGCUCAUUAUAUAAGUUAUCGUUUAUUUGAUAGUACCUUACUACUUGGAUAACCGUGGUAAUUCUGGAGCUAAUACAUGCUAAAAAUCCCGACUUCGGAAGGGAUGUAUUUAUUAGAUUAAAAACCAAUGCCCUCUGGGCUCUCUGGUGAUUCAUGAUAACUUCUCGAAUCGCAUGGCCUUGCGCCGGCGAUGGUUCAUUCAAAUUUCUUCCCUAUCAACUUUCGAUGUUUGGGUAUUGGCCAAACAUGGUCGCAACGGGUAACGGAGGGUUAGGGCUCGACCCCGGAGAAGGAGCCUGAGAAACGGCUACUACAUCCAAGGAAGGCAGCAGGCGCGCAAAUUACCCAAUCCCGACACGGGGAGGUAGUGACAAUAAAUACUGAUACAGGGCUCUUUCGGGUCUUGUAAUUGGAAUGAGUACAAUUUAAAUCCCUUAACGAGGAACAAUUGGAGGGCAAGUCUGGUGCCAGCAGCCGCGGUAAUUCCAGCUCCAAUAGCGUAUAUUAAAGUUGUUGUGGUUAAAAAGCUCGUAGUUGAACCUUGGGCCUGGCUGGCCGGUCCGCCUCACCGCGUGUACUGGUCCGGCCGGGCCUUUCCCUCUGUGGAACCUCAUGCCCUUCACUGGGCGUGACGGGGAAACAGGACUUUUACUGUGAAAAAAUUAGAGUGCUCCAGGCAGGCCUAUGCUCGAAUACAUUAGCAUGGAAUAAUGAAAUAGGACGUGCGGUUCUAUUUUGUUGGUUUCUAGGACCGCCGUAAUGAUUAAUAGGGACAGUCGGGGGCAUCAGUAUUCAAUUGUCAGAGGUGAAAUUCUUGGAUUUAUUGAAGACUAACUACUGCGAAAGCAUUUGCCAAGGAUGUUUUCAUUAAUCAGGAACGAAAGUUAGGGAUCGAGACGAUCAGAUACCGUCGUAGUCUUACAUAAACUAUGCCGACUAGGGAUCGGACAAUGUAACUACUACUGCGAAAGCAUUGCCAGAUGUUUUCAUAUCAGACGAAAGUUAGGGAUCGAAGACGAUCAGAACCGUCGUAGUCUUAACCAUAAACUAUGCCGACUAGGGAUCGGACGAUGUAAAUAAUUGACUCGUUCGGCACCUUACGAGAAAUCAAAGUGUUUGGGCUCCAGGGGGAGUAUGGUCGCAAGGCUGAAACUUAAAGAAAUUGACGGAAGGGCACCACCAGGGGUGGAGCUGCGGCUUAAUUUGACUCAACACGGGGAAACUCACCAGGUCCAGACACAAUGAGGAUUGACAGAUUGAGAGCUCUUUCUUGAUUUUGUGGGUGGUGGUGCAUGGCCGUUCUUAGUUGGUGGAGUGAUUUGUCUGCUUAAUUGCGAUAACGAACGAGACCUUAACCUGCUAAAUAGCCCGUAUUGCUUUGGCAGUACGCUGGCUUCUUAGAGGGACUAUCGGCUCAAGCCGAUGGAAGUUUGAGGCAAUAACAGGUCUGUGAUGCCCUUAGAUGUUCUGGGCCGCACGCGCGCUACACUGACGGAGCCAGCGAGUACUUCCUUGGCCGAAAGGCCCGGGUAAUCUUGUUAAACUCCGUCGUGCUGGGGAUAGAGCAUUGCAAUUAUUGCUCUUCAACGAGGAAUCCCUAGUAAGCGCAAGUCAUCAGCUUGCGUUGAUUACGUCCCUGCCCUUUGUACACACCGCCCCGUCGCUACUACCGAUUGAAUGGCUCAGUGAGGCGUCCGGACUGGCCCAGGGAGGUGGGCAACUACCACCCAGGGCCGGAAAGCUCUCCAAACUCGGUCAUUUAGAGGAAGUAAAAGUCGUAACAAGGUCUCCGUUGGUGAACCAGCGGAGGGAUCAUUAUCGAGUUUAUCAACUCCCAACCCUAUGUGAACCUACCUUUAUGUUGCUUCGGCGGUGUCGCGCCGGGUUGCCCCCAGCGGGCUCCCGGGACCACGCGCCCGCCGGAGACCACAAACUCUUGAUUUUGCGAAAGCAGUAUUCUUCUGAGUGGCCGAAAGGCAAAAAACAAAUGAAUCAAAACUUUCAACAACGGAUCUCUUGGUUCUGGCAUCGAUGAAGAACGCAGCGAAAUGCGAUAAGUAAUGUGAAUUGCAGAAUUCAGUGAACCAUCGAAUCUUUGAACGCACAUUGCGCCCGCCAGCAUUCUGGCGGGCAUGCCUGUUCGAGCGUCAUUUCAACCCUCGAGCUCGUCUUCAUUGACGAGAUCGGUGUUGGGACCCGGCAAAGCGGACCCAGUCCGGCGCCGGCCCCGAAAUUCAGUGGCGGCCCGUUGCGGCGACCUCUGCGUAGUAACUUAACCUCGCAGUGGAAGAGCAGCGCGGCCACGCCGUAAAACCCCCGACUUUUUUAAGGUUGACCUCGAAUCAGGUAGGACUACCCGCUGAAUUUAA
rnacentral:rRNA from 1 species